GACGAAGGAUGCAAGCGUUAUCCGGAUUCAUUGGGUUUAAAGGGAGCGUAGGCGGCCUUAUAAGUCAGUGGUGAAAUCUUUGGGCUUAACCCAAAAAUUGCCAUUGAUACUGUAGGGCUUGAGUACAGUUGCUGUGGGCGGAAUAUGACAUGUAGUGGUGAAAUACAUAGAGAUGUCAUAGAACACCGAUUGCGAAGGCAGCUCACAAAACUGUAACUGACGCUGAGGCUCGAAAGCGUGGGGAUCAAACAGG
rnacentral:rRNA from 1 species